AGAGGCCUGGCUCUGGGGAAGUUGGAGGUUUUACUCCCUGGCAUCAUCUGCAGUCGAGAGUGAUCUGGCAGAUACUAUCUCUCCCAACCAACUUGGCAAGGCUCUGGUCCUGUGUGAGGAGGCAAGGAGUUCUCUUGGAUGAGAGAAGUAUGCAGAAACCUCGAAGGUCAUCAAUUCCGACAUCCAGUUGAUGCUUAGAUUUCCUCCAUUGCUUCUCUGCAAAGCGAUUGUCUGUUCCAUGCUUAAAUAUCUCCAGUGAUGGAAACAACUCCAAAGGGAACUCGCCCCAGGUUGAACAUUGUGUAAACGUCAAAGCCAGGAUCCUACUCCCGUUUCUUCUGACUCUAAAUCUUGGAAUUUUCUCAGCAAACCAGAAGUCUUACCAUGGCCCUGUCUCAGGGCACUCAGCCCCAAAGUGGUGGAGCAAGAGCACUCCAAUCGGCACCACAUGCUGAGCAAUUGAGCUAGCAUGCUGAUAGAGGCAGGGACGACACAGGCCUUGUCAUCGAUAACAGGAUGAAUACUGAGGGCCAUCAGCCCAUGAGUUCUUUGCUCGUCUAUCCUAGAAAAAGGAAUGUUUUCAAAUACCUCCACUAUCAAUCACCAAGAAAAAAACAUUUGUUAUUCAUUGUU